UGAGGAAUAUUGGUCAAUGGGCGAGAGCCUGAACCAGCCAAGUCGCGUGAAGGAAGAAGGAUCUAUGGUUCGUAAACUUCUUUUGCAGGGGAAUAAAGUGCAGGACGUGUCCUGUUUUGUAUGUACCCUGAGAAUAAGGAUCGGCUAACGCCGUGCCAGCAGCCGCGGUAAUACGGAGGAUCCGAGCGUUAUCCGGAUGUAUUGGGUUUAAAGGGUGCGUAGGUGGUUUGAUAAGUCAGCGGUGAAAGUUUGCAGCUUAACUGUAAAAAUGCCGUUGAAACUGUCGGACUUGAGUGUAAAUGAGGUAGGCGGAAUGCGUGGUGUAGCGGUGAAAUGCAUAGAUAUCACGCAGAACUCCGAUUGCGAAGGCAGCUUACUACGCUACAACUGACACUGAAGCACGAAAGCGUGGGGAUCAAACA
rnacentral:rRNA from 1 species